rnacentral:rRNA from 1 species
CACGUAGGCACCAAGCGUUGUCCGGAUUUAUUGGGCGUAAAGAGCUCGUAGGCGGUUCAGUAAGUCGGGUGUGAAAACUCUGGGCUCAACCCAGAGACGCCACCCGAUACUGCUGUGACUUGAGUACGGUAGGGGAGUGGGGAAUUCCUGGUGUAGCGGUGAAAUGCGCAGAUAUCAGGAGGAACACCAGUGGCGAAGGCGCCACUCUGGGCCGCAACUGACGCUGAGGAGCGAAAGCGUGGGUAGCAAACAGG